CGGUUAUCAUGGUACCGAUGCUG
rnacentral:miRNA from 1 species